AAGCUAGAGAUGCAUUUAAAAGCAACCCUGCUAAAGGAGAAGUGGUUUUAGUAGGAACACUAAAAAGUGUGCCCUUCUUCCUUGGGUGGUCAUGGUUCCACUCUGCUGUUUUCAUCCUGAGGGGCAGAUUAGGCUGAGAGAUGCCAUAGAAGCAACAACUGUGGUUCCAUGCGCUCAGCUCAACCUCCUUAAACCCAUUGAUGAUGCACCUUGUUGGUUGCAUGACGGUUUGUUUCUUGCACAAUAGUGGUAAAAGAGAAUUCAUAUACUGGGAAGUGUGGCUGCAAUUGUUGUUGUUCCCAAGCUGCUGUCUGUGAAGUUUCAGCCCAGUAUAUCUGAAGGAACGCCUACAGAAUCACCGAUUGUGCCGCCUGAUGAGAUCAGCCUCGCAAGACCUUCUCUCAGUCCCACCAGUGAGAAUAGCUAGGCUGGUACGGACCAGAGAGAGGGCAUUCUCUGUUGUGGCCCCCACCCUCUGGAACUCUCUCCCUUUCGAUCUCAGACAUGCUGCCUCCUUGUCCAGCUAUCGCCGAGCCUUGAAGACCUGGCUGUUCAGGCAGGCCUACAAGAUUGGGACAGAUUAACUUAUGUUACAAUUGAAUUAAUGAAUGGUUUUUUAGCUUAAAAUUUGAUUAUGUUGAUGUGUAUGUAUUGUUUUUAUUCUUGUUGUUCGUCGCCUAGAGUGUCCCUAACCUGGACAGAUAGGCGGCUGAAAAAUAAAUUUUAUUAUUAUUAUUAUUAU